UACAGAGGGGGCAAGCGUUGUUCGGAAUUACUGGGCGUAAAGGGCGCGUAGGCGGCCCGCUAAGUCGAACGUGAAAUCCCCGAGCUCAACUCGGGAACUGCGUCCGAUACUGGCGGGCUUGAAUCCGGGAGAGGGAUGCAGAAUUCCAGGUGUAGCGGUGAAAUGCGUAGAUAUCUGGAGGAAUACCGGUGGCGAAGGCGGCAUCCUGGACCGACAUUUGACGCUGAGGAGCGAAAAGCUAGGGGGGAGCAAACGGGG
rnacentral:rRNA from 1 species